rnacentral:misc_RNA from 1 species
GAUGAAGAACGCAGCGAAAUGCGAUAACUAAUGUGAAUUGCAGAAUUCAGUGAAUCAUCGAGUCUUUGAACGCACAUUGCGCCCCCUGGUAUUCCGGGGGGCAUGCCUGUCCGAGCGUCAUUGCUGCCCUCAAGCACGGCUUGUGUGUUGGGCUCCGUCCCCCCGGGGACGGGUCCGAAAGGCAGCGGCGGCACCGAGUCCGGUCCUCGAGCGUAUGGGGCUUUGUCACCCGCUCUGUAGGCCCGGCCGGCGCCAGCCGACAACCAAUCAUCCUUUUUUCAGGUUGACCUCGGAUCAGGUAGGGACACCCGCUGAACUUAAGCAUAUCAAUAAGCGGAGGA